GGAAUAUUGGGCAACGGGCGCAAGCCUGACCCAGCAACGCCGCGUGAAGGUAGAAGGCUUUCGGGUUGUAAACUUCUUUUCUUAGGGACGAACAGAUGACAGUACCUGAGGAAUAAGCCACGGCUAACUACGUGCCAGCAGCCGCGGUAAUACGUAGGUGGCAAGCGUUAUCCGGAUUUACUGGGUGUAAAGGGCGUGUAGGCGGGGACGCAAGUCAGAUGUGAAAUCCACGGGCUCAACCUGUGGCCUGCAUUUGAAACUGUGUUUCUUGAGUACUGGAGAGGCAGACGGAAUUCCUAGUGUAGCGGUGAAAUGCGUAGAUAUUAGGAGGAACACCAGUGGCGAAGGCGGUCUGCUGGACAGCAACUGACGCUGAGGAGCGAAAGCGUGGGGAGCAAA
rnacentral:rRNA from 1 species